rnacentral:misc_RNA from 1 species
AGAUUGUGCUUCGACGCUCCGGCGUCGUGUUUAUGCAGUGCAGAGUCCGUCGUCUGAACCAGAAAUAAAGGAUUAAAACUUUCAACAAAGGAUCUCUUGGCUCUCG